CUAUAAUAUCCAAGCGUGGGUCACCACUCACCCCAUGUUCUCUUCCUCAGUGUCCGCCUUCUUAUUCAGUGUUUGUGUGUGUUAGUGUUUGUCUAUGGGAGUAAUCUGAGGCCAAGGACGGAGUGGCGAGUGUGGACAGCGUCAGGUCUUAUCCGGUGUUCUCCUCCUCCUCUUCUGCCCACUCCCCCCCUUCCGUUGUGGGUUGGGACCAAUCAGCGCAGCAUUAGCGGGGGAUGGCCAGGCACGCGUCAGCCUGUCUGUCUGCCUGUCUGCUGGUGUCUGUGGUCGAGGAGCGAGGCACAAAAUUAAGCAGCCUUCAGCGCGAUACAUUAAUUAGCGGAAGUAAUUGAUGGGCGGAGGUGUGAUCAGGUACCUGUGAGCGGCGCGCGGGGCGUAAUGGAACACACCUGAAAACACCUGUCAUCAAUCUGGGCCGGACAACGCUCGGGUGUCACUCCGGUGCGCCGCGGCUCCAUUAUCGUGGCUCGUCUUUCCGGAAAAUUCAUCAAACGUUUAUUCCGUCGAUUUGUCAAACACUGUCAGAUCGAAUAUGGCUGGAGACAAUGGAGAGAGAUUUUUAGAAGGGGUGCUGGAGCAGCGUUGCCAAAUUGUCGUACUCUGAACAUUGCAUUUUAUCAUUUUUAGGCUCCAAGACUGUCGUAACCACACAAAUAGCGAUAGGAAAUUAAAGUUAGCGUGAAAACUGUUAAAUAUUGAUGGUUUUCGUUCUUUUUUGCAAUAGUUAUCGGUCAGAAACUAAAAAAUGCAAUGAGCCGAGUACGAUAUUUUGGCAACUCUGUGCUGGAGGAAAAGAAGAAAGAGAAAGAGGAAGCGGAGGAGGAAGCAGAAAAGGUUAAUGUAUUAGGUAUGGACGUUAAUGGGCCUAUAAUUGCAUAAAAGGAAGGAUUUUCAGAAGAUGAAAGGGGUAAUAAAGGAAUAGAAGACAGCGAAAGAGGAGGUUAAGGAGAAACCAGAAAAGGUUUGUGUGGUAUGUAAGACGUAGGCUGAGGAUGGGACAGAGGGAAUAAAGUAAAUGUAAAAGAGGAGGAGGAGAAUGAUAUGUAAAUAGUUAAUGGACUUUGGAUUGCAUUAAGCUAACCUGCAGAGGAGAAGAGGUUGGUUUUACGCUCAAGGGAGUUGGUAGUCUAGAUUUACGUAGCUUUUUCAUAUGUACGUGAUACUUGUUAGUGGACUUCAUAUCUCAGGGCAUUUUGUGGCUCUCAAAUUCCGUCGCGCUGACUUUCAGAAAGGACUGCUUGAUUGGUUUGUUAAGGUUAAUCUUUAUUAAUUUUGAUAAACGUCUAUAGUUCAUGGUUUUGCAAUAUUUGCUUCGACGUUUGGUUAUUUGAAUUAAUAACAAAGAUACCUCAGAAUGUACUGCAUUGUAUAAAUGAUUCAGUGAUGUAUCAGAACUUGUAAGAAUAUAUUUAUUCAGUUUCGAAUAAAAAAAUAUUUGUAUUCGAACUGUAAAAAUAAUCUUCUCUAAGAGAAGAUUAUUUUUUUUUACAGUUUUUAUAUUUUUCGGAGGGCCUUUUUUUCUCACAACAGUGUGUCCAUUAGGCAUGAUUACACAUAUUAACAAUUUACAAAAGACCAAUUAAGUUGGAAAGUCAGAGUAAUGAAGUGCAUCACAAGCUGCAGCACGACGUGGCGUCGGGAAGGUUUUCAUGCAUCGAGUAUCAGCAUUUGCAAUUAUUUUCCAGGUCUGAGUCGUUGAAUAUUUGUAGUGUUUAUUAACACAUAAAUGGAAGGGAAAUUUAAAAACGAUCACAAUAUUUAUAGGAAAAAAAUAUACUUGCGUUCUUCCCGGGCAGCAGGGAGCAGUUACUUGGGUGCACGAUUCUUGACUCGAUGCAGUAACUUAUAUAAAAAAAAAGUAAAAGCCAUCAAUUCUGCUGCAUCGGUACAAUAAAAAAAAAUAUCACUA